AAAUAUUAAAGAAAAGGGUAAACACAACACUGGACUGAACCUCCUAAUUGUCAAACUAAUAUUAAUGUACAACAAUAUAGAAGAUACAUGACUAGAGGUUAUGCAAUAUGGGUGUAUAUCCACUGCACGCUUCUUAGGUGUGUAAUUGACAUGACCAAGGAGCUAUUGAAAUUUGACAUUUUGAAAAAUUUAUGUAAAAUUUUGUGAGAUGAAGAUUGACAAACUAAAGGGUGUGCAAUAUAGAAGGGCAGUCAGUGGACAUUCGGAAUCUUGUUUGAAGUCAUUAGGUCACAUGACCAAGAGGCUAUUGACAUUUUUUAUCUUGAAAAAUUCAUGUCAAAUCAUGUGAGAUGAAAAUUGACAAACUAAAGGGUGUGCAAUAUAGAAGGGUAGUCCGUGGACAUUCUAAAUCUUUUUUGAAGUCAUUAGGUCAUAUGACCAAUGAGCUAUUGAAAUUCAAAAAUGUAAAUAAAUAAUAAAAAAUUGUGCGAGAUGUAAAUCGACAAAAAAAAGUGUGUGCAAUGUGUGUCUAUGCCAUCGGGUUAGCUACAACCAGUUUAGAAAGUUUUAGGAGUAAUCGUUAAAGAGCUAUUGAAAUUUGAAAAAAUUGAUUUGUUAUUAUGUUGACGGUCCCUAACUGCUGUUGGUGGAAAACUACAGGCGAAUAUCUGUCGAAUAUCCAACCUGAAACUGCCUUUACCUCGGUCCAUUAGGAGAGGAAAGAGGCUACUGAAGUUGAAGCAGCGAAUUCUGAUUGUGUGUGAAUUAUGCGAAAAAUAUGUACUUUUAAUACAAUGGUUUAGGCUAACGCAUACAAAGAGGAAAGUCAACCGUUUCUAAAUAAUCUGAGGGACAACUAAAAUAUUUUCAUCCCUACAUCGUCUCCCAGCCGACUGAGCUACAAUGAUCUCCGCAGAUGAAAUUGCCCCCCACUCGUUUGAUGAACUUCAACCACAGGCUCUCUUGGCACGGUUCUGCCAGAUGCACGUCGGCGAUCCAGAGGCAAGGUUCGCGCAUGGACAAAACCACCUGCGUCCGUUUCAUCAGAACUGCAUUGUUUGGGUCCCAGUGACCCAUCUCCGGACGGGACCCUAA
rnacentral:lncRNA from 13 species